rfam:Sutterella sp. CAG:351 genomic scaffold, scf89
GCGGGAGUAGCUCAGUUGGUAGAGCGCAACCUUGCCAAGGUUGAGGUCGCGAGUUCGAGACUCGUCUCCCGCU